UUAGCAAUUGUGCAAUUUCAACACCAUCAAUAAAAAGAUAUUUGGCAGAAUAACGAGCGCCGCCCUCAAGUAGUGAUCAUAGUGUAAGCGCAGUAUUAUGAUCAGAAUAUUCGUAAGUAUGCAACUCUGUUUUUCAUACAUUUCGCAAAAUAUUCUACAGCAACAAGUGGGCGAAAAUAUAAAGGUUCCAUCAACAUAUGUGACUUGAAUGCUGAAAAGGAGCAGUUUGCUGAGACGCAGAAAAAACUGAAGUGACUACGACCAUCCCAUGUUGAAGCUAUCUGGGAUAUCGCCCACUGGAAGGAUAUCUAUAAUCCCCUCGUUGCCGCUGCUAAGAGAUGUUUGUGUCAUCUAAGCUUUAAGUGACCUAGAGAAGCCUAUUCGAAUUUGUGGGACGAAUGUUGGGCAAAGCGGUGCUUACUCUAAAGGAUAAAUUGAAGGAGCUAAAAGUGCAUUCGGUGCUAGAAAUCAACAUCAAGUUAGGGCGGCACAAAAAGCGGUCGCCCAUGCAUGCGCGAUUCGUAGGAGAAAUUCGCGUGUGCUAUCUAAUUUAGAGUCUUGAGAGUAUGACACGUCGCAUCACCAAACUAAA